rnacentral:lncRNA from 1 species
GUCUGGAGAAGUUGCCCCCGGGGCUCCAGUCUCAAGGUCCCCACCAGAUCUCCAUCGGGACCCUUUCACGACCCCGAGCCCUUUCCCCAGGAGCUCCCAGCAACCUUCGCGCUUCUCCGGAGGGUGGGGUCUGCCGCGGCGCGGGGGCAGCCUCACCCCACCUCACUGCUGGACUCCGGAGAACCAUUUCUGGGACCGGGAGCUGUCCAGCGCCUCGGGUCCUGACGGACCGCUGAUUCGCCUAGGUGCCAUCGGACAAGCGGGUGCUCAGAGCCAGCUCUGGUGGCUCGGGAGCUUUCCCCCAACCAGGCUAAGACCACUAAACCACGCCUGGCCCGGAUGAGCUUGGAUGCAGCUCCGAACGUGGGGAUCCAUCGGUGCUGAGAACUGACCUAGGGAGCACCUUGACCCCUGCCCUAUCUGGGCACAAUUGAAGGGCCAAGUGCCACCAGCCCACUUUCCUGGAACCCUGUCUCAGACUUGGGCAGGAAGAAGAGCCAUGAGAGAAGAACGAAAUAUAUUUGGGUCUCAGUAAAAAUGUUCUGUGCCACAUUGAAAAAUUGUAUUAUGGAGAUGCAUGUAUUUCUAGAAAUUAUGAAAUGGUGUUAAUCUACAGAAUGUUGGUAUGUGACAGUUCACAAUUGCUUACUUCUUAGUUUUCACUAGAAAUUAAGGAUACUAAAAUUUAAAAUUCAAAUUAAUAUAUGGAAUUAAAACUAUUAGAAAUUAUAAGUGUAACAACUCUGUAUGCAAAUAAUGCAAGGAAAAUAAGAUACAUUGUUGGUAAGGAAAAUUAUAAGGCAUGAGGAUGUGUUUUUCUGUUAGGGGAAAAACGAGUAAUUAAUUCUGCCAUAAAGUAGAAUGACUGAUCUUCCCAGAAUGAGAAAGAGAAAAAUGUAGGGAAAGAAAUGUUGAUGGAUAUAUAUAUAUAUUUUUUGUUUGUUUUUGAGAUGGAGUCUCACUCCGUCAUCCAGGCUGUAGUGCAGUGGCAUGAUCUCAGCUCACUGCAACCUCCGCCUCCCGGGUACAAGCGAUUCUUCUGCCUCAGCCUCCCAAGUAGCUGGGACUACAGGUGUGUGCCACCACACCCGGCUCAUUUUGUAUUUUUUUAGUAGAGAUGGGGUUUCACCAUGUUGGCCAGGUUGGUCUCAAACGCCUGACCUUGUGAUCUACCCGCCUCAGCCUCCCAAAGUGCUGGGAUUACAGGCAUGAGCCACCACGGCCGGCUUGAUGGAUAUUUUUAAAUGGUUGUAAUGGGUUUGAGGAAGGAAAUCUUAGGAAAGGAGUCUUAUCUGGUAUGAUCAAAGCUAUCUGAGACGGGAUAGAUUUAUUCAGAAGACAUUUUUAAAAUUAGCCUUAGCAUUAAUAGUACACUGAUGCAAAACUAGAAUUUGGUCUCCUCUGUCAAAGACAAAGUUUUGGCUGGGUGCAGUGGCUCACGCCUGUAAUCCCAGCACUUUGGGAGGCCGAGGCGGGCGGAUUACCUGAGGUCAGGAGUUCGAGAUCAGCCUGCAACACAGUGAAACCCCAUCUCUACUAAAAACACAAAAAUUAGCCGGGUGUGGUGACACAUGCCUGUAAUCCCAGCUACUCGGGAGGCUGAGGCAGGAGAAUCGCUUGAACCUGGGAAGCGGAGGAUGCGGCGAACUGAGAUCACGCCGUUGCACUCCAGCCUGGGCAGCAAGAAUAAAUCUCCAUUAAAAAAAAAAAAAAAGAAAAGAAAAACAAAGUUUUUUUGAUGGGGGGUAUAUUGGUUUGCUUUUGAUAAGAGAUUAUGAAAAGUUUUUUCAUUACCUUUUAAGUAAUUGGCAUAGAAAACAAAGGUUUUGUGAGCUAUCAAAAUAAUUUUUGGUGCUUCACAUGGUCUCCACUAGGUCUUUGAUUACUUAAGAAAAUGGAGUUCUCUCUAUUAAAAGAACUAAAGGUUUGUUUUUAAAACUAUGUAACCUUCUGUACUUGCCUUUAAAAUAUUUUGUUGCCACUUUGAUUAAAUAGAUAACAAAUAACCUGAUUUAAUCAAGAGUUUUACACCUUUUGAUAUUGUUGACAAACUUCCCCAAAUCAAAUUCUAAAUUAAAUCUUUUUGACCUCAAUCUAAAUUUGGGAGCUUUUAGAGGGCCUCUGGAAUAUCUCAAAAUAAUUUAUUUUCUCUCCUUAUAGAAAGAGAGAUAUUAAACUAAUUUGGCUUAUUUGUGUUUUUUUGUUUGUUUGUUUUUGUUUUUUUGAGAUGGAGUCUCACUCUGUCGCCCAGGCCGGAGUGCAGUGGCGCGAUCUGGGCUCACUGCAAGCUCCACUUCCCGGGUUCACGCCAUUCUCCUGCCUCAGCCUCCCGAGUAGCUGGGACUACAGGCGCCCGCCACCUCGCCCAGCUAAUUUUUUGUAUUUUUAGUAGAGAUGGGGUUUCACCUUGUUUGCCAGGAUGGUCUCGAUCUCCUGACCUCAUGAUCCGCCCACCUCGGCCUCCCAAAGUGUUGGGAUUACAGGCGUGAGCCAUAAUUUGGCUUAUUUGACAUGUUAAAUUUACACGGGAAACAUUGUCAACUAAGAAAUGAUGUUUAACGUUCUUUGAAUUAUAUCUGUAUGGGUAUAUUAUUAAUGUGUGUUCCAAAAACUGUAUAAAAUUCUUAAAAAUCUGAUAUGUUCUCAUAUAAUGUUUUCGGUCAUAAUUUUAGUUAUGUUAAAAUGUUUUAUCCCACAGGAAUAAUCAAAUUUCUUCAUCAGGCCAGGCGUGGUGGCUCAUGCCUGUAAUCCCAGCACUUUGGGAGGCCGUGGCGGGUGGAUCACGAGGUCAGGAGAUCGAGACCAUCCUGGCUAACACGGU